AAGGCAAUGCCAAAUUUCACAGAUGUGACAGAAUUUGUUCUUCUGGGGUUGACCAGUCGUCAGGAGCUUCAGGGUCUCUUUUUUGUGGUGUUUCUAGUAGUUUACAUGAUCACUCUGAUAGGGAACACUGGUAUCAUUAUUUUGAUCAGCAUCAGCCUCCAGCUUCAGAGCUCCAUGUACUUUUUCUUGAGUCCUUUGUCUUUUGUGGAUGUGUGGUUCUCUUCCAUUGUCACUCUGAAGAUGCUGGAAAACUUACUAUCAGACAAAACCCAUUUCCUGUGUGGGGUGUUUGGUGCAGUGUUACUUCUUCAGAGCCCUUGUCCACGUGGAAGUAUAUAUCUUGGCUGUGAUGGCCUUUGAUUGCUACAUGACCAUCUGCAACCCUCUGCUUUAUGGCAGUAAAAUGUCCAGGAGUGUCUGUGCUCAUCUCAUCUCUGUGACACACAUCUAUGGAUUCUCUGUUAGCCAAAUCUGCACACUCUGGACAUAUGGCCUGUACUUCUGUGGAAACUUUGAAAUCAACCACUUCUAUUGUGCUGACCCUCCUCUUAUCAAGACUGCCUGUGGAGGGGUCCACGUUAAAGAAUGCACCAUGAUUGUUAUUGCUGGGAUUAAUUUCACAUAUUCCCUCUCAGUGGUUCUCGUUUCCUAUACCCUCAUCAUAGCGGCCGUGCUGCACAUGUGCUCUGCCGAUGGCAGGAGGAAGGCAUUCUCCACGUGUGGGUCCCACCUGACAGCUGUUACCAUGUUUUAUGGGGCUCUCCUCUUCAUGUAUCUCAGGAGGCCUACUGAAGAGUCUGUGGAGCAGGGGAAGAUGGUGGCUGUGUUUUACCCCACAGUGAUUCCCAUGCUGAAUCCCAUGAUCUAG
rnacentral:lncRNA from 1 species